rnacentral:lncRNA from 1 species
UCCGAUAGAUUGUUUAGAUUGAGAAGAAUAAUAUAAUUUGUAGAGCGAAAUCUACCGUUCCCUCUUAGUCGCUUGAACGUGUCAGACUACUGAUAAUUGCGUGGAAAGAAUUCUGCCAAUUGUUCGGAUUACCAAUUUCUUAUCUUUCACCACUUUUUAUUUUGUUUUAUUAUAUGUUCUUUUUUUCUUUUAGAGACCGUGGCUGCUUCUAUCUUAAUUAUUAUGAAUGAGAUAAGUACGUACGAUGAUAUAAUAGAUCGUGAAAUUUUUCUAUAAUAAUACGUAAAAUUGUAAGAAAUUUGUGCUUCUUAUAAAAAUUUAUUAUGGAGAUCAUGAUAUU